GACGGAGGGGGCAAGCGUUGUCCGGAAUCACUGGGCGUAAAGCGCACGUAGGCGGGACGGUGCGUCGGUGCUGAAAGCGCCAGGCUUAACCUGGCGAGGCGUGCCGAUACGACCGACCUCGAGGCAGACAGAGGGUGGUGGAAUUCCCGGUGUAGUGGUGAUAUGCGUAGAUAUCGGGAGGAACACCAGUGGCGAAGGCGGCUUUCUGGGCAUUAACUGACGCUGAGGAGCGAAAGCAUGGGGAGCGAACAGG
rnacentral:rRNA from 1 species